ACGGCUCAGUAACACGUAGGAAUCUGCCCAAAACUGGAGCAUACCCCCGCGAAAGUGGGGCUAAUUCUCCAUAUGUCCGUAAGGAUAAAGAGCGUAACUGCUUGGUUUUGGAUGAGCCUGCGUCCUAUCAGGUAGUUGGUGGGGUAAUGGCCUACCAAGCCAAUGACGGGUAGCUGGCCCGAGAGGGUGACCAGCAAGAGGGGGACUGAGACACGGCCCCCACUCCUACGGGAGGCAGCAAUCAGGAAUAGUCGGCAAUGGGCCGAAAGCCUGACCGCGCGACACCGCGUGUGGGAUGAAGUUCUAACGAGCGUAAACCACUUGUGGUAGAGGAAGAAUUUCCGUCUUUGACGGAAUUGACGGUACUCUACUAGAAAGUAGCCGCUAACUGCGUGCCAGAAGCGUCGGUAACACGUGGGCUACAAGCGUUAUCCGGUAUUAUUGGGCGUAAAGGGUCGUGUAGGUGUCCCACCAUGUUUUUGUCUAAAUAUUCAGGCCCAACCUGGAGAAGGGCGAAAAAACGGGUGGGAUAGAGUUUUCUUAAGGGGGAUUGGAACUGAGAGAGGAGUAGUGAAAUGCGUUGAUACCCUCAGGAACACUAGUGGCGAAGGCGAAUCCCUGGAAGAAGACUGACACUGAGACACGAAAGCUAGGGGAGCGAAGCAGAUUAGAGACCUGCGUAGUCCUAGCCCUAAACGAAUGUCUGCUGGCUGCAUUUUUUUCCCGCAAGGGAAUUAAGUGUGGCGAAGGUAACCCGUUAAGCAGACCGCCUGGGGAGUACGGCCGCAAGGCUAAAACUCAAAGGAAUUGGCGGGGGAGCAC
rnacentral:rRNA from 1 species